CCUACGGGGGGCAGCAGUGAGGAAUAUUGGUCAAUGGACGAGAGUCUGAACCAGCCAAGUAGCGUGAAGGAUGACUGCCCUAUGGGUUGUAAACUUCUUUUAUAUGGGAAUAAAACGUUCCACGUGUGGGAUUUUGUAUGUACCAUAUGAAUAAGGAUCGGCUAACUCCGUGCCAGCAGACGCGGUAAUACGGAGGCUCCGAGCGUUAUCCGGAUUUAUUGGGUUUAAAGGGAACGCAGGUGGAUUGUUAAGUCAGUUGUGAAAGUUUGCGGAUCAACCGUAAAAUUGCAGUGGAUACUGGGAGUCUUGAGUACAGUAGAGGUGGGCGGAAUUCGUGGUGUAGCGGUGAAAUGCUUAGAUAUCACGAAGAACUCCGAUUGCGAAGGCAGUUCACUGGACUGCAACUGACACUGAGGCUCGAAAGUGUGGGUAUCAAACAGGAUUAGAUACCCCAGUAGUC
rnacentral:rRNA from 1 species